rnacentral:rRNA from 1 species
GACGUAGGGCGCGAGCGUUGUCCGGAUUUAUUGGGCGUAAAGAGCUCGUAGGCGGCUCGUUGCGUCGGCUGUGAAAACCCGCAGCUCAACUGUGGGCUUGCAGCUGAUACGGGCGGGCUGGGAUUCGGUAGGGGAGACUGGAAUUCCUGGUGUAGCGGUGAAAUGCGCAGAUAUCAGGAGGAACGCCGGUGGCGAAGGCGGGUCUCUGGGCCGAUAUCGACGCUGAGGAGCGAAAGCGUGGGGAGCAAACAGG